AGCAAGACAGCAAACCAAAUAUGU
rnacentral:siRNA from 1 species